AGAGAAUAGAUACCCGGGUAGUCCACGCCCUAAACGAUGUCUACUAGUUGUCGGGUCUUAAUUGACUUGGUAAACGCAGCUAAACGCGUGAAGUAGACCGCCUGGGGAGUACGGUCGCAAGAUUAAAACUCAAAGGAAUUGACGGGGACCCGCACAAGCGGUGAAUGAUGUGGAUUAAUUCGAUGCAACGCGAAAAACCUUACCUACCCUUGACAUGUCAGGAACCUCCGAGAGAUCGGAGGGUGCCCGAAAGGGAGCCUGAACACAGGUGCUGCAUGGCUGUCGUCAGCUCGUGUCGUGAGAUGUUGGGUUAAGUCCCGCAACGAGCGCAACCCUUGUCAUUAGUUGCUACGAAAGGGCACUCUAAUGAGACUGCCGGUGACAAACCGGAGGAAGGUGGGGAUGACGUCAAGUCCUCAUGGCCCUUAUGGGUAGGGCUUCACACGUCAUACAAUGGUACAUACAGAGGGCCGCCAACCCGCGAGGGGAGCUAAUCCCAGAAAGUGUAUCGUAGUCCGGAUCGCAGUCUGCAACUCGACUGC
rnacentral:rRNA from 1 species